rnacentral:rRNA from 1 species
CCAGACUCCUACGGGAGGCAGCAGUGAGGAAUAUUGGUCAAUGGGCGGGAGCCUGAACCAGCCAAGCCGCGUGAAGGAAGAAGGCGCCAGGCGUCGUAAACUUCUUUUGUCGGGGAACAAAGGGCGCCACGCGUGGCGUUGUGAGUGUACCCGAAGAAAAAGCAUCGGCUAACUCCGUGCCAGCAGCCGCGGUAAUACGGAGGAUGCGAGCGUUAUCCGGAUUUAUUGGGUUUAAAGGGUGCGUAGGCGGUCCGGAAAGUCAGCGGUAAAAGCCCGGGGCUCAACCCCGGCGGGCCGUUGAAACUGUCGGACUAGAGACGGCGAGAAGUACGCGGAAUGCGCGGUGUAGCGGUGAAAUGCAUAGAUAUCACGCAGAACUCCGAUUGCGAAGGCAGCAUACCGGCGCGCAACUGACGCUCAUGCACGAAAGCGUGGGUAUCGAACAGGAUUAGAUACCCCAGUA